GGCCUGGUGGUGUAGUGGUAACACAUCCUCUCUAAUUAUUCAUGUCAAAUCUGGAAAAGAUCAGAGGAAGGUCCCUGUUCAAUUCGGGGCCAGGCCA